GGCGGCAGCAUGAACAGAAAAAGGUUACGACCAACCCGGUGAUUUCUACACAGACAAAAAUACCAGUUACGGGGAAGAUGCACCCCCGCCCUAUCAACCAGGGCCAAAACAAACUGGUUAUCCAUCACAACAACCGGGUAAUGUCGAACAACCCUACAUCAGUGCCAGCACCACCCUGCUUGUUAAUCAACCGCAGGCCGAGACAGUGAUCAUUAAGCCACGCCCCCCAGAUCGCAUGGUGGACUCCAUACUUGUAUUCCUCUGCUGCUUCUGGCCCACAGGCAUUUACGCUAUCUAUUAUGCAAACAAGGUAUGUAUAUAACAUUUUCAUUGGC
rnacentral:misc_RNA from 1 species